GAACGCACCUUGCGCCCUUUGGCUAUUCCGAAGGGCAUGCCUGUUUGAGUAUCAUGAACACCUCAACUCUCAUGGUUUGCCAUGAUGAGCUUGGACUAUGGGGGUCUUGCUGGCCUGUGGUCAGCUCCUCUCAAAUGAAUCAGCUUGCCAGUGUUUGGUGGCAUCACAGGUGUGAUAACUAUCUACGCUUGUGGUUUUCUGCCAGGUAACCUUCAGCAAUGGAGGUUCGCUGGGGCUCAUAAAUGUCUCUCCUCAGUGAGGACAGCUCUUGAACGUUUGGUCUCAAAUCAGGUAGGACUACCCGCUGAACUUA
rnacentral:misc_RNA from 1 species